rnacentral:rRNA from 1 species
AUUGAACGCUGGCGGCAUGCUUUACACAUGCAAGUCGAACGGUAACAGGGUGCUUGCACCGCUGACGAGUGGCGAACGGGUGAGUAAUGCGUCGGAACGUGCCGAGUAGUGGGGGAUAACGCAGCGAAAGUUGUGCUAAUACCGCAUACGUACUGAGGUAGAAAGUGGGGGACCUUCGGGCCUCACGCUAUUCGAGCGGCCGACGUCUGAUUACCUAGUAGGUGAGGUAAAGGCUCACCUAGGCGACGAUCAGUAGCGGGUCUGAGAGGAUGAUCCGCCACACUGGGACUGAGACACGGCCCAGACUCCUACGGGAGGCAGCAGUGGGGAAUUUUGGACAAUGGGCGAAAGCCUGAUCCAGCCAUGCCGCGUGUCUGAAGAAGGCCUUCGGGUUGUAAAGGACUUUUGUCGGGGAGGAAAUCCCCAGCGUUAAUACCGCUGGGGGAUGACAGUACCUGAAGAAUAAGCACCGGCUAACUUCGUGCCAGCCGCCGCGGUAAAAC